rnacentral:hammerhead_ribozyme from 1 species
GCACUGCUGAGGACUCCCGCAAUAGAAGGAAACGGCCGUCCAGUGC